rnacentral:rRNA from 1 species
AGUUUGAUCCUGGCUCAGAACGAACGCUGGCGGCAUGCCUAACACAUGCAAGUCGAACGAAGGCUUCGGCCUUAGUGGCGCACGGGUGCGUAACGCGUGGGAAUCUGCCCUUGGGUUCGGAAUAACAGCGGGAAACUGCUGCUAAUACCGGAUGAUGUCGAUAAGACCAAAGAUUUAUCGCCUGAGGAUGAGCCCGCGUUGGAUUAGGUAGUUGGUGGGGUAAAGGCCUACCAAGCCGACGAUCCAUAGCUGGUCUGAGAGGAUGAUCAGCCACACUGGGACUGAGACACGGCCCAGACUCCUACGGGAGGCAGCAGUGGGGAAUAUUGGACAAUGGGCGCAAGCCUGAUCCAGCCAUGCCGCGUGGGUGAAGAAGGCCUUCGGGUUGUAAAGCCCUUUUGUUGGGAAAGAAAAGCAGUCGGUUAAUACCCGAUUGUUCUGACGGUACCCAAAGAAUAAGCACCGGCUAACUUCGUGCCAGCAGCCGCGGUAA